AUGUUUGGACUUUGGAGGAGUUUGAAACAAUUUAAAGUGUUUGAACAUCUUAUGAUUAUUAUUUAUGUUUGAAAGUUGGAACUUUGGAUAUUUAUAUUAAUAAAAAUACU